rnacentral:tRNA from 1 species
GCCGACGUGGCCCAACCCGGUAGAGGCCGCAGCCUCAGAAGCUGUGUGUUCGUGAGGGUUCGAAUCCCUCCGUCGGCA